rnacentral:rRNA from 1 species
ACUGCUCAGUAACACGUGGCCAAACUACCCUCUGGAGCACGAUAACCUCGGGAAACUGAGGCUAAUCGUGCAUACCGCUCUCAUGCUGGAAGUUGCAGAGAGCUCGAAAUGCCCCGGCGCCAGAGGAUGUGGCUGCGGCCGAUUAGGUAGACGGUGGGGUAACGGCCCACCGUGCCAGUAAUCGGUACGGGUUGUGAGAGCAAGAGCCCGGAGACGGUAUCUGAGACAAGAUACCGGGCCCUACGGGGCGCAGCAGGCGCGAAACCUUUACACUGCACGCCAGUGCGAUAAGGGGACUCCAAGUGCGAGGGCAUAACGUCCUCGCUUUUCGUGACCGUAAGGUGGUCACAGAAUAAAGGCUGGGCAAGACCGGUGCCAGCCGCCGCGGUAAUACCGGCAGCCUGAGUGAUGGCCGCUCUUAUUGGGCCUAAAGCGUCCGUAGCUGGCCGCGCAAGUCCAUCGGGAAAUCUGUCCGCUUAACGGACAGGCGUCCGGUGGAAACUGUGCGGCUUGGGACCGGAAGACCAGAGGGGUACGUCCGGGGUAGGAGUGAAAUCCUGUAAUCCUGGACGGACCACCGGUGGCGAAAGCGCCUCUGGAAGACGGAUCCGACGGUGAGGGACGAAAGCUCGGGUCACGAACCGGAUUAGAUACCCGGGUAGUCCGAGCUGUAAACGAUGUCUGCUAGGUGUGGCACAGGCUACGAGCCUGUGCUGUGCCGUAGGGAAGCCGUGAAGCAGACCGCCUGGGAAGUACGUCCGCAAGGAUGAAACUUAAAGGAAUUGGCGGGGGAGCAC